AUUGAACGCUGGCGGCAGGCCUAACACAUGCAAGUCGAGCGGAUGAAGGGAGCUUGCUCCUGGAUUCAGCGGCGGACGGGUGAGUAAUGCCUAGGAAUCUGCCUGGUAGUGGGGGAUAACGUCCGGAAACGGGCGCUAAUACCGCAUACGUCCUGAGGGAGAAAGUGGGGGAUCUUCGGACUUCACGCUAUCAGAUGAGCCUAGGUCGGAUUAGCUAGUUGGUGGGGUAAAGGCCUACCAAGGCGACGAUCCGUAACUGGUCUGAGAGGAUGAUCAGUCACACUGGAACUGAGACACAGUCCAGACUCCUACGGGAGGCAGCAGUGGAGAAUAUUCGACAAUGGGCGAGAGCCUGAUCCAGCCAUGCCGCGUGUGUGAAGAAGGUCUUCGGAGUGUAAAGCACUUUAAGUUGGGAGGAAGGGCAGUAAGUUUAUACCUUGCUAUUUUGACGUUACCAACAGAAUAAGCACCGGCUAACUUCGUG
rnacentral:rRNA from 1 species